rnacentral:rRNA from 1 species
UACGAAGGUCCCAAGCGUUAUCCGGAUUUAUUGGGUUUAAAGGGUGCGUAGGCGGGCUAUUAAGUCAGUGGUGAAAGCCCCAAGCUUAACUUGGGAACUGCCAUUGAUACUGAUGGUCUUGAGUACAUUUUGAGGUGGGCGGAAUGUGUCAUGUAGCGGUGAAAUGCUUAGAUAUGACACAGAACACCGAUUGCGAAGGCAGCUCACUAAACUGUAACUGACGCUGAGGCACGAAAGCGUGGGGAGCAAACAGG